UGUUUACUUCUUCUCAGUGUAAGUAAGAUACUUAAAGCUUUUUCCUUCCCCUUAGUUUACU
rnacentral:tRNA from 1 species